UACGUAGGGCGCAAGCGUUGUCCGGACUUACUGGGCGUAAAGGGCUCGUAGGUGGCCAACUAAGUCAGACGUGAAAUCCCUCAGCUUAACUGGGGAACUGCGUCUGAUACUGGAUGGCUUGAGUUUGGGAGAGGGAUGCGGAAUUCCAGGUGUAGCGGUGAAAUGCGUAGAUAUCUGGAGGAACACCGGUGGCGAAGGCGGCAUCCUGGACCAACACUGACACUGAGGAGCGAAAGCCAGGGGAGCAAACGGG
rnacentral:rRNA from 1 species